rnacentral:rRNA from 1 species
AACGCGAAGAACCUUACCCAGGCCCGAAAUGUAGAUGACACCACCAGAGAUGGUGGGUUCCGUGAGGACAUCUAUAUAGGUGCUGCAUGGCUGUCGUCAGCUCGUGCCGUGAGGUGUUGGGUUAAGUCCCGCAACGAGCGCGACCCUUAUUCGUAGUUGCCACCCGCAAGGGGGAACUCUACGAGGACUGCUCCGGAUAACGGAGAGGAAGGUGGGGAUGACGUCAAGUCAGCACGGCCUUUAUGUCCAGGGCUACACACGUGUUACAAUGCACGGUACAGACUGUUGCGAACCCGCGAGGGGGAGCUAAUCGGAUAAAACCGUGCUCAGUUCGGAUUGCAGUCUGCAACUCGACUGCAUGAAGCUGGAAUCGCUAGUAAUGGCGUAUCAGAUCGACGCCGUGAAUACGUUCCCGGGCUUGUACACACCGACGCGUA